UGGGGAAUAUUGCACAAUGGGCGCAAGCCUGAUGCAGCAACGCCGCGUGAACGAUGAAGGUCUUCGGAUCGUAAAGUUCUGUUGCAGGGGAAGAUAAUGACGGUACCCUGUGAGGAAGCCCCGGCUAACUACGUGCCAGCAGCCGCGGUAAUACGUAGGGGGCUAGCGUUAUCCGGAUUUACUGGGCGUAAAGGGUGCGUAGGUGGUCCUUCAAGUCGGUGGUUAAAGGCUACGGCUCAACCGUAGUAAGCCGCCGAAACUGGAGGACUUGAGUGCAGGAGAGGAAAGUGGAAUUCCCAGUGUAGCGGUGAAAUGCGUAGAUAUUGGGAGGAACACCAGUAGCGAAGGCGACUUUCUGGACUUUUACUGACGCUCAGGUACGAAAGCGUGGGGAGCAAACAGG
rnacentral:rRNA from 1 species